ACAAAGCUCAGAAAAUAUCCUUGUUCACUACAUCUAUUAGCUCGCUUGGCCAAUGUUUUCCAGUCACUGGCCAUCUGGUUUGUUUUCCACGUUAGCUGCCUAAAACUUGUUUCACUUACAGUUUUCUAACUUUGCUAUGGCUGAUAAUUGGCAUGCUAUUGAUGACUGAUGGAUGUUUGCUUACCAGGUGGCUGUGCAAUGCCUGGAGCAGGACCAGGUAUGUGAAGGGAGGAAAGCGAGGGAUCAAAAAAAUAAGGAUUAUGAUAUGAAGACCUGUUACCAAAAUCUUAAACUUCACCAGCCGUGUUGUUCACGCCAUUGCAGAUGA
rnacentral:lncRNA from 1 species